GGGGAAUCUUGCGCAAUGGCCGAAAGGCUGACGCAGCGACGCCGCGUGUGGGAGGAAGCUCUUCGGGGUGUAAACCACUGUUGCCCGGGACGAACGAGCGAUUUUGAUCGCUGUGACGGUACCGGGUGAGGAAGCACCGGCUAACUAUGUGCCAGCAGCCGCGGUAAUACAGAGGGUGCGAGCGUUGUCCGGAAUCACUGGGCGUAAAGGGCGCGUAGGCGGCUUGAUAAGCGUGCGGUGAAAGCCCGGGGCUCAACCCCGGGUCGGCCGUGCGAACUGUCGAGCUGGAGCACUGUAGAGGCAGGUGGAAUUCCGGGUGUAGCGGUGGAAUGCGUAGAGAUCCGGAAGAACACCGGUGGCGAAGGCGGCCUGCUGGGCAGUGGCUGACGCUGAGGCGCGACAGCGUGGGGAGCAAAC
rnacentral:rRNA from 1 species